rnacentral:rRNA from 1 species
UACGAAGGGGGCUAGCGUUGUUCGGAAUCACUGGGCGUAAAGGGCGCGUAGGCGGCUUUAUAAGUCGGGGGGUGAAAGCCUGUGGCUCAACCACAGAAUUGCCUUCGAUACUGUAGAGCUUGAGACCGGAAGAGGUAAGUGGAACUGCGAGUGUAGAGGUGAAAUUCGUAGAUAUUCGCAAGAACACCAGUGGCGAAGGCGGCUUACUGGUCCGGUUUCUGACGCUGAGGCGCGAAAGCGUGGGGAGCAA